UACGGAGGAUCCAAGCGUUAUCCGGAUUUAUUGGGUUUAAAGCGCGCGCUGGCGGCCUUUUAAGUCUGAUGUGAAAGCCCACGGCUCAACCGUGGAAGGUCAUUGGAAACUGAAAGGCUUGAGUACAGAAGAGGAAAGCGGAAUUCCACGUGUAGCGGUGAAAUGCGUAGAGAUGUGGAGGAACACCAGUGGCGAAGGCGGCUUUCUGGUCUGUAACUGACGCUGAGGCGCGAAAGCGUGGGGAGCAAACAGG
rnacentral:rRNA from 1 species